rnacentral:rRNA from 1 species
AACGAACGCUGGCGGCAGGCUUAACACAUGCAAGUCGAACGGGUGCAGCAAUGCAUCAGUGGCAGACGGGUGAGUAACACGUGGGAACCUUCCUCGGGGUACGGAACAACUCAGGGAAACUUGAGCUAAUACCGUAUACGUCCGUGAGGAGAAAGAUUUAUCGCCCUGAGACGGGCCCGCGUCGGAUUAGCUAGUUGGUGGGGUAACGGCCUACCAAGGCGACGAUCCGUAGCUGAUCUUAGAGGAUGAUCAGCCACACUGGGACUGAGACACGGCCCAGACUCCUACGGGAGGCAGCAGUGGGGAAUCUUGGACAAUGGGCGCAAGCCUGAUCCAGCCAUGCCGCGUGAGUGAAGAAGGUCUUCGGACUGUAAAGCUCUUUUGCCAGGGACGAUAAUGACGGUACCUGGAGAAUAAGCCCCGGCAAACUUCGUGCCAGCCGCCGCGGUAA